GUGAAUUAUAUGCUGUUUUAAGGUAAAAUAAAAACUGGAGGGACACCAGAAGCGAAUAACUGGUUUAGCUUUCUCAAUGAAUCUUAAUAUCCUGGUUUCGUCGGGGGCUGAUGCUCAACCUUGUUCAAUGGGAUUUGCUACUGGUGGAAAAACAUUCUUAAUGUGUGGUGGGUUUUGCUUUUUGCCAUGGUCAUGGAAUCUUGCAUGGGGUCACAUGGGAAAAGGUCGUGAAAAAGAAGCGAAAAAGUUUAAAGCACAGGCAAUAAGUUAUGGGUAGUGUUAUGCCCGUUAAUACCCAACUUUUUUGCAGUCUUUUACACAGUUUUUAUGUGU